GUACUUGCUUUGGCAGCACAUAUACUAAAAUUGGAAUGAUAAAGAGAAGAUUAGCAUGGCCCCUGCAUAAGGAUGACCUGCAAAUUUUUGAAGCAUUCCAUAAAACA
ensembl:snRNA U6 U6 spliceosomal RNA